rnacentral:lncRNA from 1 species
AAAAAUUCAGGAAGUAUACAACAUCAUUAUACACAGCAGGCAGCUGAGAUAAUGAACAAAUCCAAGGAACUCAUUAAGAGCCCUAAAUAUUACAAAACAGGCAUCAUAAGGACUGCCGCAAAAUACAAAAAACAGAAGGAACAUCAGCUUUCCCAACAGCAGCAACUUCCACCAUCCCUUCCAGCACCCCUCCAAGCCUCCAAUACAGGCAGGAACCAUUAAU